UACGGGGGGUGCGAGCGUUGUCCGGAAUCACUGGGCGUAAAGGGCGCGUAGGUGGCCUGAUAAGGGUGUGGUGAAAGUCCGGGGCUCAACCCCGGAUCUGCCGUGCCGACUGUUAGGCUAGAGUACUGUAGGGGCAGGCGGAAUUCCGGGUGUAGCGGUGGAAUGCGUAGAGAUCCGGAGGAAGACCGGUGGCGAAGGCGGUUCUCUGGGCAUUACCUGACGCUGAGGAGCGAAAGUGUGGGGAGCGAACAGG
rnacentral:rRNA from 1 species